CAGACAAUCAGGGAAAGGCUGGGGAGCGCCUGCAGCUCAACCUGACAAAACCCCGGAGGAAAGUGCUCUACUUCCAGCUGGCGCAUGGGACGGGAUCGAAAACCCUUUGUAUGCCUCUGUGGGAACAAGGAGACGGGGGGAAAAUUUUCCAUGGCAGCUGCGCUUGGAUUUCGGCAGAGAUGUGACAGUCGGAUGCCACCUGCCAUCACAGACCUCAUGUACAAACAGGAUGGCUGAUUUCACUUUGGUUCUUUCAUUUCUCAGCUGGGAGAAGCAGCUACUUCAAGAGUCCAUUUGCACACUCCUGCAGUUUUAGUGUGAGCUCUGCCUUGUUCUCACAGCCCCCAGCCCUUGCCAUCAGGUGGCUGAGACUCCAAGCUUUCAUCUUUAAAAAGAAAGUACCUUUACAGCCUUCUGGCUUGCAGAGAAAAGACUGAAAAGUUGCCCUGAGUGUGAGUUAAAGGCAUAAAACUGGGAAAACAAUCAAAUGAACACAGCACUUCCAAAUAAACACUGAGACAUUAGGUGGUUUUUAAAGGCAAUCUCCGUUGUUUUGGGGAGAGCUUGAGUUGGCAGUGUUUUAACAGUAAGUGCAUGGUCAAGGGAGCUGCAGAGCUGGUACACGCACCGUGGCCUCUAUUCCUUGUCCCACUGCAGGCACUAAUCAGCCCCAUUGCAGGGGCACCCAGAGCUUAUCCAGAGUAAGUGGCAGAGCCCUCACAGCUCCCAUUGGUGCCAUGGCCAGCAGGGAGCAUGGCCAGCUCCUCACCUCUACAUCCCUCCAUGCUAAAAACACCCGUAUUCUGUCCACCCCAUAAGAUCUUCAGUAACACUGAAAUUACAGCAAGCCUGAAAAAUACUUACAAACCUUCCUGUUGGAAGUCUUCCCAUAAAUGGAAGAGGUCUUUCCUAUGACCCCUGCCCAAGAGGGACUGCUGCUACAGAGUCUGCCAUCCCACACCAUUGCAUCUUUUUUCUCCUCCUUUUGUGCCCGAACUCUCCCAAGGCACACAGGAAAGGGGCUCAGAAGCCAUUCAAGGUAAAUCUCAGCAAAGGAGGCUCCUCUCCAGACACCAAGGGAUGCAAUUCCC